AAUCUGCUGCGUCAUGUGAGGGCUGGGUUUGUAUGGAGGACUUUUUCUGCCAUAAUCCAAGAGCACACAUUUUCAGCCUGAAAGCAGGACUUCAUAUCUUUCUUCUCAAAACUUUUAAGAUAGAUGGAUAGAUAGAUAGAUAUCAUGUUGUGACUAUGUUGUCUUUAGUUGGGUGAACAAACUCCUGCCUAAGAUUAGUAGCUGUUAGCUGGCGGAUGUUUAGUGUACUACGGAGCAGAAAGCUGACAUCGUUGUUUCUCCCUACAUCCAGCGGGUGGCGAAGGUUGCUACAAUCAAUAGUGGCCACACAGGCACAACCGCUAGAAGGAAACAAACGCACCCAAUACAACACUUUAAUUCUAUUGACUGAGAGGUUCUUAGGCGACUGUGCCAAAAGGCAGUUCUAUGUUUCGUAAGCGAGCAGAGAUGAAGUGUGAGUGCGAUGAGAGGUUUUGAGUACAAGUAUUGCAAGAUUUGAGAAAAAAAGACAUAAAGUUUUGCUUUCAAAAUAAAAAUGUAAGCAAAAAUAUUAAAGGUUUUGAGAACAAAAGAUAUGAAAUCCUGCUUUCAGACUGAAAAUGUGCUCUUGGAUUACGACAUAAAAUUUCCUCCAUAGGUUAGGCAGCUCAAGGAAAGGCUGGACAGAGUUGAUCAAAUCGACAGUCUGACAGUAUGUAGCAGAGGCUCAUAGGUUUGGAUUUGAUGUAAAGUGUGUUUCAGGUGAAAUUUAUUGCUUGAGAGAUCCGUGUCAUCAUGGGGAUUUUAGGAAAAACACACGACUCACAGUUACUUGCUCAAGACGCAGCAAAACCUUGUUAUGUUAGGGAAAUGAUGAACAGAUGUAUCUCAAAUUAUUCAUCCAUCCAUUGUCCAUACCUGCUUGUCAGUCAUGUGUUUGGACUUGGGGUAAGCCAAAGUACCUAGAGAGAAUACAUUCAUGCACAUGGAGAGCAUACAAACUCCAAGCAGAAAGACCAAGACUUGAACCGAGGACCUUCUUGCUGCAAGGUCACCAUGCUAAUUAAAUGUAAUUAAAUGUAAUUUAUUUUAGUACAUUUAGUAAACAUUCAGAUAUAAAAGUAAGAAAAAUAUAUUUCAAGUCAAUUUUUGUUCAUUUUGAUGUAUUAUGGCAUACUUCUUCUGAAACCCCAGAAUUUGGUUUCAAAUAUUAAAGUUAAAUUAGCAUCUUUAUAAAGCUUGGCAGCAGAGGGAAGCAUGAAGCAACGCUGACUUUGGCUUUAAUGAAACCCAGUGGACCAACACCAGCAAAUGAUGUGGCUCCCCAGAUCAAGUUAAAAUGUAAAUACUUCACACUGGACCUCAAGCAGCUUGGACUCUGUGCCUCUCUGCUCUUCAUCCAGACUCUGAAAUUUGAACUUUGUAUGAUUCAACAGCAGUCCAGUCUAGAGGAAUAUAUUUUCUGUGUCUGGAGCUCAGACUUUGCAGGACGAUGAAAUAUUCCAUGGAAUAAAGUCUGAGCUUUGCAGUAGCGACAUGUUCCAGUGCCCAAGAUUCUAAAGUCCACAAAGUGUAAGAAGGAUAGACGAAAGAGAGGAGGGAAAAUUUGGAUUUAUCAGCUUGGAUAAAACUGUCCAAGUAUUUAACAAACCUAUGACGUAUUGUAUUUUGCCCUCAUCUUUUUUCUCCACAUAUUUUUAAGUUAUUUUGAUGUUGGUACCCAAAGCACAUUUAAUUCUCCACCAUUAUCUCACAGCUAAAUGGUUUAAUUUACAACAGACCAUAGCCUGGCUUGAACUUGAAACAGAAUCCCAGACAGGCUGAGUCAAUCACAGAAGGAUUUAAUAUUCUGGAAGAAGUGAGUGGAGAAAUUGGUGAACUUAUUAACUAAUAGCACAGAGACUAAUCUUAGAAAUGAAUGUGUGCAGUUUAAAACAGUCAUGGUUUUGUUUUUACAAUCCCCUCUUUGCGUUUGAAGUGCGUCUGAACACUAUAUAGAGUAAGGAUAAGUCAUUGCUACAUCUACAAAUCAUCCACAACGUCCAGAAAUUUGCUCUCUUCUUAGUGAAGAUGGACUGGAAAGAAGCCCUGGGAAUGCUCCAAACCAGAAUGAUGAAAGGCAGAUAAAGACGUUAUGCAGGAAGUGAGGAAAGACUUGAGAGGAAAGCUGACAACCUUUCAUAAAAAGCCCACUUCUUGGCCGGAGCUAAAGGUUGUUUUCCAAAAAUCUGUCUGGUUGGUCAUCAGUUUGUUUAACUAAAAAAGACCUAGACCGCUGCCUUGUUGCUCUCCCAAAUAUUUAGUCUCUCACUAGAAAAAGCCUGUUGCUCAUUAGAGCAACCAAAGUUUCCAGCAGAAUGUGUGACUGUCUGGAUAACAUUAUCAGAAGCUGAGAUAAGGAGGCUGAAGCUUAUAUAUUAGCUUAUAGCUUUCUAGCUUUCCCAUUUUUCACAUCUUGUCAGUUUACUCUACAUUAAUUGCCCUCCAGCCUGCCUCCUCCAUGCAUUCCCUCCCUUUCUUACCUCUGGGAGCUCAUUUGUAGGGUGUCAAGGCCUGGCUGAACAUGCCUCUCCGUCCAAAGGUCCUGCUUUCAAAAGAAAGGAAAACUGGGGGUAAAGAGUCUUCAUAAGGUCUCUGACACAAUCUUCAUGCUGUUUUCCAAAGAAUAAUGGAAAAGAAAAAUGCUGCAGGCGGUUCAGAUUUUGUAACAGUCCUCUGGGCAAAGUUUCACUCACUCUGAAGGAGGUAAAAUCUUUUCUUUUUUUUUUGCUUGCUGCAGUAGUGAUACCAUUUGUUCACAUGUUCAUUUAUUUAGAUAAGGUUUCAAUUUUAAACCACAUUUAGGCACCAAGAAGUAUCUUUACGUAGGUAUAUUGCACAUGUUAUGGAUGUCUUUGAGGUUUUCUUGUGAUAAAGGUGCCCUUUCUACAUUGCGAAGAAGUUAGUUUCACUUUUUAUCCAAAUGGAACCAAUAAUCAUCUUCAUGUAGAUGCCCUUUUUCAGUUGUGGAUAUUACAAUAAACCCCUUAAACAAUCACCUUUAGAGCCUAAGAAACAUCUUCAUGUCGAUAUAUUUUCUACGCUGUUAAUGAAAAAGGUGUUUCCACAUCAGGAAGGAGAUGAUUUUUAGGAAUGGGAUGAGCGACAAUGAUAAAAGUGAGGAUAAAAAGUUUUUUUUUUGUCCUUUUGGCAAAAUGAUUGGGACAUGGUAGGUAGAGAUGUUAGCACUGGUAGUGCAAUUUUAUUGCUAAACAGCAUAAGAAAAACUUAUACUGCUGCUCUCUUGGAACCACUGGUUGGAAAAAGUUGGUAAAAGUUACAGUCUCAUCAAUACUUUUAGUUUUUGGAACAAGGAUCCAUCACCACAUAGAAACACCAAUAAUUAUGGCAAUAACCAUUCUCUAAUAUCUUUACUACAUUUCGACUUUGAGGGAUUUUCCCCUUGCAGCUACAUUUACAUGUAAUUUA